CAGUAGCCGCGGGAAUACGAAGGGUGCAAGCGUUACUCGGAAUUACUGGGCGUAAAGCGUGCGUAGGUGGUGGUUUAAGUCCGUUGUGAAAGCCCUGGGCUCAACCUGGGAAUUGCAGUGGAUACUGGGUCACUAGAGUGUGGUAGAGGAUAGUGGAAUCUCCGGUGUAGCAGUGAAGUGCGUAGAGAUCGGAAGGAACAUCUGUGGCGAAGGCGACUAUCUGGGCCAACACUGACACUGAGGCACGAAAGCGUGGGGAGCAAACAGGAUUAGAUACCCCCGUAGUCCCUGUCUCUUAUAA
rnacentral:rRNA from 1 species